CAACGUUGAACCGACGUUGAAAAUAUGUUGAAAUUUGGUUGUAACGUUGAUCAACGUAAAAUCAACGUUGUAUCAACGUCAAUUGUAUCAACGUUUAAAACACGUUGUUGUAUCAACGUUGAUUUGUGGUUAGAAUUUCCAACGUUGAACUGCCAACGUUGAAUCAACAUUGAAUUUGAGUUGAUGCUUUCAAUGCUUUAAUUGGUUGAAAAUAUAACGUUGAUAAACGGUUUAGUUAAGGUUGGUGACUUUAUAUGUCAACCAAAAUUUCAAUCAAGAUGAGAUUGAUCGACCAAAUUUUAUGUAUAUUCCUUUUUGCUUAAUUGAUAAUUUUUAUAUUGGUUUAAUGAUGUUUUUGAAUAAAUUCAACGAUUAAUGUUUCAUAUAUAAAUUAAUCUUUUAAUUGCGAUAAAAUUAUUAUAUUAUAAUUACUCGAAACGGAUAUCUUUUUCUGAUUGGCACAUGCGUAGAAGACAGACAUUUCGAAUUUAUUUGCGCCAAUUUGGUUACCACAUUAGUUGCUCUCGGCAGAGUAAAAUGAUGUCUUACCAAAAAAACAUGUCUGUAAAGUACAUCUCGUAUAAAAAGAAUAAAUAUGCCUAUGGUGUCCAAGCUUGACCGAUUGAAAUAAUAAGAGAUGCUGUAGUAACAAGUUUCGAAUGUAAACAUUAGACCUUAAUAUGGAACAACAGUACAAGAUGUCUAGCAGAUGGACUAUUUUUUUUCUUAAAUAAAAUUAAAUAUUCAAGUUG